rnacentral:tRNA from 1 species
AACAGAUUAGUUUAUUAUAUAAAAUUAAUUUGUCAAAUUAAAAAUAUUAAAAAAUAUCAGUUA